rnacentral:rRNA from 1 species
UACGGGGGGAGCAAGCGUUGUUCGGAUUUACUGGGCGUAAAGAGCUCGUAGGCGGCUUGUCGCGUCGACCGUGAAAACUUGGGGCUCAACCCCAAGCCUGCGGUCGAUACGGGCAGGCUAGAGUUCGGUAGGGGAGACUGGAAUUCCUGGUGUAGCGGUGAAAUGCGCAGAUAUCAGGAGGAACACCGAUGGCGAAGGCAGCUCGCUGGGACGGUACUGACGCUGAGACGCGAAAGCGUGGGGAGCAAACAGG